GAGGAACGCAGCUAAUUGCGCGUCAACAUGUGAACUGCAGGAUACAUGAACAUUGACAUUUCGAACGCAUAUUGCGGUCCUCGGAUACUGUUCCCGGACCACACCUGGCUGAGGGUCGU
rnacentral:rRNA from 1 species